GACGAACGCUGGCGGCGUGCUUAACACAUGCAAGUCGAACGGAAAGGCCCUGCUUGCAGGGUGCUCGAGUGGCGAACGGGUGAGUAACACGUGGGUGAUCUGCCCCUUACUUUGGGAUAAGCCUGGGAAACUGGGUCUAAUACUGGAUAGGACCAUGCUGUAGGUGGUGUGGUGGAAAGUUUAGUUUCGGUAAGGGAUGAGCUCGCGGCCUAUCAGCUUGUUGGUGGGGUAAUGGCCUACCAAGGCGUCGCCGGGUAGCCGGCCUGAGGGGGUGGACGGCCACAUUGGGACUGGGAUACGGCCCAGACUCCUACGGGAGGCAGCAGUGGGGAAUAUUGCACAAUGGGCGCAAGCCUGAUGCAGCGACGCCGCGUGGGGGAUGACGGCCUUCGGGUUGUAAACUCCUUUCAGCCAUGACGAAGCCCUUGUGGUGACGGUAGUGGUAGAAGAAGCACCGGCUAACUACGUG
rnacentral:rRNA from 1 species